GUAGUCCACGCCGUAAACGAUGAAUACUAGGUGUAGGGGGUAUCGACCCCUCCUGUGCCGCAGUUAACACAAUAAGUAUUCCACCUGGGGAGUACGGCCGCAAGGUUGAAACUCAAAGGAAUUGACGGGGGCCCGCACAAGCAGUGGAGUAUGUGGUUUAAUUCGAAGCAACGCGAAGAACCUUACCAGGGCUUGACAUGUAUGGAAGGCCUGCGAGAGCAGGCUGUGCCUUCGGGAACCAUAACACAGGUGGUGCAUGGUUGUCGUCAGCUCGUGUCGUGAGAUGUUGGGUUAAGUCCCGCAACGAGCGCAACCCUUACUGUUAGUUGCUACCAUUUAGUUGAGCACUCUAACGGGACUGCCGUUGACAAAACGGA
rnacentral:rRNA from 1 species